CUAACUACGUCCCAGCAGCCGCGGUAAUACGUAGGUGGCCAGCGUUAUCCGGAUUUAUUGGGCGUAAAGAGCGCGCAGGUGGUUAAUUAAGUCUGAUGUGAAAGCCCACGGCUUAACCGUGGAGGGUCAUUGGAAACUGGUUGACUUGAGUGCAGAAGAGGAGAGUGGAACUCCAUGUGUAGCGGUGAAAUGCGUAGAUAUAUGGAAGAACACCAGUGGCGAAAGCGGCUUCCUGGUCUGCAACUGACACUGAGGCGCGAAAGCGUGGGGAGCA
rnacentral:rRNA from 1 species